rnacentral:rRNA from 2 species
AUCUUGAGAAAUUUCAUCGUGAUGGGGAUAGAUCAUUGCAAUUGUUGGUCUUCAACGAGGAAUGCCUAGUAAGCGCGAGUCAUCAGCUCGCGUUGACUACGUCCCUGCCCUUUGUACACACCGCCCGUCGCUCCUACCGAUUGAAUGGUCCGGUGAAGUGUUCGGAUCGCGGCGACGGGGGCGGUUCGCCGCCCCCGACGUCGCGAGAAGUCCAUUGAACCUUAUCAUUUAGAGGAAGGAGAAGUCGUAACAAGGUUUCCGUAGGUGAACCUGCGGAAGGAUCAUUG